rnacentral:lncRNA from 1 species
GUUCCUUCUGAAACCCUGGAGCGGAAUCAGAAGUGCGCGUGGCCACAGCGGCGCCUCCUGCCCUUUAGCCGCCGCUGGCCCAACGGUUUCCCCAGCAGUAGCCUCUGCGACCAGGUCAUUUUUUCCAGGACACUUUCUGUCUUCAUGACAGGAACAUCGAGAAGCCAAGGCUAGUGGCUGGGUUACUGAUGGAUUACUGAUGGAUUCUUCUCAGCACUUAGUGACCUUUGAGGAUGUGGCUGUGGACUUUACCCAGGAGGAGUGGACUUUGUUGGAUCAAGCCCAGAGAGAUCUCUACAGAGAUGUGAUGUUGGAGAACUACAAGAAUCUCAUUAUACUAGUAGAGAGGAAGUUUCACCACGUUGGCCAGGCUGGUCUUGAACUCCUAACCUCAAGUGAUCUCCCUGCCUUGGCUUCCCAAAGUGCU